UCAGUCAUAAACACCUAAUGAUAACUGUUUGUUAUCCCAAAAUCUUCAGCCAGCAGCUCCAAAAACCAUUUCCAGUUCUCCUUGUUUUCUUUUUGCACAACACACCAUGCCACUGGAUAGAUGCCGUCAUUUGCAUCUAAACCAACAGCUGUGAGAAGCUGUCCUCCAAAUACUCCUUUCAGCCAACACCCAUCCAAAAAGAUAUGAAAGUCCUACAAGACUUGAAUCCUUCCCUCAAUGCAGCAAAGCACACAUACAUACUGUUAAAAACACCUUCAUUCAAACCAAAAACUAUUGUGCUUCCUGGAUUACUUCUCAAGAGUUCUAGCUUGUAAUCAUGAAGGCUAGAAAGUUGUUUUGU
rnacentral:lncRNA from 1 species